AUCUUCCGCAAUGGACGAAAGUCUGACGGAGCAACGCCGCGUGAGUGAUGAAGGUNUUNNGAUCGNANAACUCUGUUGUUAGGNNNNNACAAGUACCGUUCGAAUAGGUCGGUCCCUUGACGGUACCUAACCAGAAAGCCACGGCUGACGACGUGCCAGCAGCCGCGGUAAUACGUAGGUGGCAAGCGUUAUCCGGAAUUAUUGGGCGUAAAGCGCGCGCAGGCGGUUUCUUAAGUCUGAUGUGAAAGCCCACGGCUCAACCGUGGAGGGUCAUUGGAAACUGGGGAACUUGAGUGCAGAAGAGGAGAGUGGAAUUCCAUGUGUAGCGGUGAAAUGCGUAGAGAUAUGGAGGAACACCAGUGGCGAAGGCGACUCUCUGGUCUGCAACUGACGCUGAGGCGCGAAAGCGUGGGGAGCAAACA
rnacentral:rRNA from 1 species